UUCAUCUCUUUUGAUUUCCACCUACCAGAAUACAAUACAAAAAAGGUUAGGGAUAUCAACAAAAUCUUAUCACAUAAAACAAAACCUGCAUAUGCCACGUGGUCAGACUAGAUGUUUAUUCCACCAACUAAAGCACAACAAAAUGGUUAUAGCACUCAAAAGACCAAAAUUACUAAAAAUUUAAAAGGACAAAACCUGUUGAGGCAACUGCUUUCUCCAUCGUAAGCGUCUAAGCUUGGCAACAAACAAAUUAGAAUUUUCACAAACUCCAACCCAUUCCCCAUUCAGAAAUACU
rnacentral:misc_RNA from 1 species